rnacentral:rRNA from 1 species
GUGGUAUCCUGUCUGAAUAUGGGGGGACCAUCCUCCAAGGCUAAAUACUCCUGACUGACCGAUAGUGAACCAGUACCGUGAGGGAAAGGCGAAAAGAACCCCGGCGAGGGGAGUGAAAAAGAACCUGAAACCGUGUACGUACAAGCAGUGGGAGCCUACUUGUUAGGUGACUGCGUACCUUUUGUAUAAUGGGUCAGCGACUUAUAUUCUGUAGCAAGGUUAACCGUAUAGGGGAGCCGCAGGGAAACCGAGUCUUAACUGGGCGUUAAGUUGCAGGGUAUAGACCCGAAACCCGGUGAUCUAGCCAUGGGCAGGUUGAAGGUUGGGUAACACUAACUGGAGGACCGAACCGACUAAUGUUGAAAAAUUAGCGGAUGACUUGUGGCUGGGGGUGAAAGGCCAAUCAAACCGGGAGAUAGCUGGUUCUCCCCGAAAGCU